UGGGGAAUAUUGCACAAUGGGCGAAAGCCUGAUGCAGCAACGCCGCGUGAGUGAUGAAGGUCUUCGGAUUGUAAAGCUCUGUCUUUUGGGACGAUAAUGACGGUACCAAAGGAGGAAGCCACGGCUAACUACGUGCCAGCAGCCGCGGUAAUACGUAGGUGGCGAGCGUUGUCUGGAUUUACUGGGCGUAAAGGGUGCGUAGGCGGAUGUUUAAGUGAGAUGUGAAGUACCCGGGCUUAACUUGGGUGCUGCAUUUCAAACUGGAUAUCUAGAGUGCAGGAGAGGAGAAUGGAAUUCCUAGUGUAGCGGUGAAAUGCGUAGAGAUUAGGAAGAACACCAGUGGCGAAGGCGAUUCUCUGGACUGUAACUGACGCUGAGGCACGAAAAGCGUGGGUAGCAAACAGGAUUAGAUACCCUGGUAGUCCACGCCGUAAACGAUGAGUACUAGGUGUAGGAGGUAUCGACCCCUUCUGUGCCGCAGUAAACACAUUAAGUACUCCGCCUGGGAAGUACGAUCGCAAGAUUAAAAC
rnacentral:rRNA from 1 species